GUUAAAACACCAGUUCCCAUACAAUCACUGAAAUUAAGCAACAUUGAACUUGGUCAGUACCUAGAUGGGUGACCACUUGGGAAUACCAGCUGCUGUAAG